UCCUGGCUCAGAUUGAACGCUGGCGGCAGGCCUAACACAUGCAAGUCGAACGGUAACAGGAAGAAGCUUGCUUCUUUGCUGACGAGUGGCGGACGGGUGAGUAAUGUCUGGGAAACUGCCUGAUGGAGGGGGAUAACUACUGGAAACGGUAGCUAAUACCGCAUAACGUCGCAAGACCAAAGAGGGGGACCUUCGGGCCUCUUGCCAUCGGAUGUGCCCAGAUGGGAUUAGCUAGUAGGUGGGGUAACGGCUCACCUAGGCGACGAUCCCUAGCUGGUCUGAGAGGAUGACCAGCCACACUGGAACUGAGACACGGUCCAGACUCCUACGGGAGGCAGCAGUGGGGAAUAUUGCACAAUGGGCGCAAGCCUGAUGCAGCCAUGCCGCGUGUAUGAAGAAGGCCUUCGGGUUGUAAAGUACUUUCAGCGGGGAGGAAGGGAGUAAAGUUAAUACCUUUACUCAUUGACGUUACCCGCAGAAGAAGCACCGGCUAACUCCGUGCCAGCAGCCGC
rnacentral:rRNA from 1 species